GGCCACCCAGCUCCCCGCCCCUCCACCACCCAGGCUGGCUUGGUGACAAACAGGCCCUCAAUCUCCUGAGAUGAUCAGCGAUAAUUGGUUUAUGGAAAUAGUGGAGGGGUGCUGGCCGGCGAGCUCUCAGCGAGGAGCCAGCCUCUGCUCCCUGCCACCUGUCCCUCCCUUUCCAAGCGGACGGAGUUGGGGGAGGGGAGGCCCAAGGAGCCAGGCUGUGCACAUGAGGCUCUGGGGUCCAGCAAGGUCCUUGCCUAACAAGAUGCCUCAUUAGGAAGUGAGAAGACGCCCCACCCCAGGCCCAGCGGGGCUGUCACCAUCUGCAGUGGUACUGAUGAGUGUCCUCUCCUCCAUUCUUCUGCGGGGCCAGGUGGGAGGAAGGAGGGAAUCCCUGGGGUGGAGUGGCCACAAACCAUGCCUCCCCUCUUAGCCUGACCACUUCCCUCCUGGCUUCCUUCGCAUUGCUCCCCAGCAGGUCUGUCUCUUGGUUUAGUGGUUGGGGACCAAGACUAGCAGCCUUUGGGGCAAGAGAUAUAGAUCUCAGCUAGCUCUGUCCAGCUCUUUUUUCCACCUCUGAGCCUCAGUUUCCCUCCCUGCCAAGCCUGGACUGGCUUUCGACUUAGCCUUCCCAGCAGCAGGUGUGCCCAUGGCUCCUGCAGGAGGCCUGGAGUGGAGACUAAUGUCCCUUCACACCCUGACCUUGACUCCCUU
rnacentral:lncRNA from 1 species